AGGUGUGUGUUUGUAACACUAGUUUACAGGUGUGUGUUUGUAACAGUAGUUUCCAGGUGUGUGUUUGUAACAGUAGUUUCCAGGUGUGUGUUUGUAACAGUAGUUUACAGGUGUGUGUUUGUAACAGUAAUUUACAGGUGUGUGUUUGUAACAGUAAUUUACAGGUGUGUGUUUGUAACAGUAGUUUCCAGGUGUGUGUUUGUAACAGGUGUGUGUUUGUAACAGUAGUUUAAAGGUGUGUGUUUGUAACAGUAGUUUACAGGUGUGUGUUUGUAACAGUAGUUUACAGGUGUGUGUUUGUAACAGUAGUUUACAGGUGCGUGUUUGUAACAGUAGUUUACAGGUGUGUGUUUGUAACAGUAGUUUCCAGGUGUGUGUUUGUAACAGUAGUUUACAGGUAUGUGUUUGUAACAGUAGUUUACAGGUGUGUGUUUGUAACAGUAGUUAACAGGUGUGUGUUUGUAACAGUAGUUAACAGGUGUGUGUUUGUAACAGGUGUGUGUUUGUAACAGUAGUUUACAGGUGUGUGUUUGUAACAGCAGUUUACAGGUGUGUGUUUGUAACAGUAGUUUACAGGUGUGUGUUUGUAACAGGUGUGUGUUUGUAACAGUAGUUUCCAGGUGUGUGUUUCUAACAGUAGUUUCCAGGUGUGUGUUUGUAACAAUAGAUUACAGGUGUGUGUUAGUAACAGUUGUUUACAGGUGUGUGUUUGUAACAGUAGUUUACAGGUGUGUGUUUGUAACAGGUGUGUGUUUGUAACAGCAGUUUACAGGUGUGUGUUUGUAACAGUAGAUUACAGGUGUGUUUUUGUAACAGUAGAUUACAGGUGUGUGUUUGUAACAGUAGAUUACAGGUGUAUGUUUGUAACAGGUGUGUGUUUGUAACAGUAGUUUAAAGGUGUGUGUUUGUAACAGCAGUUUACAGGUGUGUGUUUGUAACAGUAGUUUACAGGUGUGUGUUUGUAACAGUAGUUUACAGGUGUGUGUUUGUAACAGUAGUUUACAGGUGUGUGUUUGUAACAGUAGUUUCCAGGUGUGUGUUUGUAACAGCAGUUUACAGGUGUGUGUUUGUAACAGUAGUUUACAGGUGUGUGUUUGUAACAGUAGUUUACAGGUGUGUGUUUGUAACAGUAGUUAACAGGUGUGUGUUUGUAACAGUAGUUAACAGGUGUGUGUUUGUAACAGGUGUGUGUUUGUAACAGUAGUUUACAGGUGUGUGUUUGUAACAGCAGUUUACAGGUGUGUGUUUGUAACAGUAGUUUACAGGUGUGUGUUUGUAACAGGUGUGUGUUUGUAACAGUAGUUUCCAGGUGUGUGUUUCUAACAGUAGUUUCCAGGUGUGUGUUUGUAACAAUAGAUUACAGGUGUGUGUUAGUAACAGUUGUUUACAGGUGUGUGUUUGUAACAGUAGUUUACAGGUGUGUGUUUGUAACAGGUGUGUGUUUGUAACAGCAGUUUACAGGUGUGUGUUUGUAACAGUAGAUUACAGGUGUGUUUUUGUAACAGUAGAUUACAGGUGUGUGUUUGUAACAGUAGAUUACAGGUGUAUGUUUGUAACAGGUGUGUGUUUGUAACAGUAGUUUAAAGGUGUGUGUUUGUAACAGCAGUUUACAGGUGUGUGUUUG